rnacentral:rRNA from 1 species
UACGUAGGGUGCAAGCGUUGUCCGGAAUUAUUGGGCGUAAAGAGCUCGUAGGCGGUCUGUCGCGUCGGCUGUGAAAACCCGUGGCUCAACCCCGGGCCUGCAGUCGAUACGGGCAGACUAGAGUGCGGUAGGGGAGACUGGAAUUCCUGGUGUAGCGGUGAAAUGCGCAGAUAUCAGGAGGAACACCGGUGGCGAAGGCGGGUCUCUGGGCAUUAACUGACGCUGAGGAGCGAAAGCAUGGGGAGCGAACAGG